rnacentral:rRNA from 1 species
UGGGGAAUUUUGGACAAUGGGCGCAAGCCUGAUCCAGCAAUGCCGCGUGCAGGAUGAAGGCCUUCGGGUUGUAAACUGCUUUUGUACGGAACGAAACGGUCUUUUCUAAUACAGAAGGCUAAUGACGGUACCGUAAGAAUAAGCACCGGCUAACUACGUGCCAGCAGCCGCGGUAAUACGUAGGGUGCGAGCGUUAAUCGGAAUUACUGGGCGUAAAGCGUGCGCAGGCGGUUAGUUAAGUUGGAUGUGAAAUCCCCGGGCUCAACCUGGGAACUGCGUUCAAAACUGACUGACUAGAGUAUAGUAGAGGGUGGUGGAAUUUCCUGUGUAGCGGUGAAAUGCGUAGAUAUGCGGAGGAACACCGAUGGCGAAGGCAAUCCCCUGGGCCUGCACUGACGCUCAUGCACGAAAGCGUGGGGAGCAAACA